GCUUCUCUGCUCAUACAUUGACCCUGGGCUUCCUAAAGGCAGCUGGGUGGACACAAGAUGUGGCUUAGGGCCCUCGUGUCCACCCAGCUGCCUUUAGGAAGCCCAGGGUCAAUGUAUGAGCAGAGAAGC